UACGUAGGUGGCAAGCGUUAUCCGGAUUUAUUGGGCGUAAAGGGAACGCAGGCGGUCUUUUAAGUCUGAUGUGAAAGCCUUCGGCUUAACCGGAGUAGUGCAUUGGAAACUGGGAGACUUGAGUGCAGAAGAGGAGAGUGGAACUCCAUGUGUAGCGGUGAUAUGCGUAGAUAUAUGGAAGAACACCAGUGGCGAAAGCGGCUCUCUGGUCUGUAACUGACGCUGAGGUUCGAAAGCGUGGGUAGCAAACAGG
rnacentral:rRNA from 1 species